rnacentral:rRNA from 1 species
CCUACGGGCGGCAGCAGUAGGGAAUCUUCCACAAUGGGCGAAAGCCUGAUGGAGCAACGCCGCGUGGGUGAAGAAGGUCUUCGGAGCGUAAAACCCUGUUGUUAGAGAAGAAAGUGCGUGAGAGUAACUGUUCACGUGUCGACGGUAUCUAACCAGAAAGCCACGGCUAACUACGUGCCAGCAGCCGCGGUAAUACGUAGGUGGCAAGCGUUAGCCGGAUUUAUUGGGCGUAAAGGGAACGCAGGCGGUCUUUUAAGUCUGAUGUGAAAGCCUUCGGCUUAACCGGAGUAGUGCAUUGGAAACUGGGAGACUUGAGUGCAGUAGAGGGGAGUGGAACUCCAUGUGUAGCGGUGAAAUGCGUAGAUAUCUGGAAGAACACCAGUGCCGAAGGCGGCUCUCUGGUCUGUAACUGACGCUGAGGUUCGAAAGCGUGGGUAGCAAACAGGAUUAGAUACCCGGGUAGUC